rnacentral:rRNA from 1 species
AUUGAACGCUGGCGGCAUGCUCUACACAUGCGAGUCGAACGGUAACAGGCCGCAAGGUGCUGACGAGUGGCGAACGGGUGAGUAAUGCAUCGGAACGUGCCCAGUCGUGGGGGAUAACUACUCGAAAGAGUAGCUAAUACCGCAUACGAUCUAUGGAUGAAAGCGGGGGACCGUAAGGCCUCGCGCGAUUGGAGCGGCCGAUGUCAGAUUAGGUAGUUGGUGGGGUAAAGGCUCGCCAAGCCAACGAUCUGUAGCUGGUCUGAGAGGACGACCAGCCACACUGGGACUGAGACACGGCCCAGACUCCUACGGGAGGCAGCAGUGGGGAAUUUUGGACAAUGGGCGCAAGCCUGAUCCAGCAAUGCCGCGUGCAGGAAGAAGGCCUUCGGGUUGUAAACUGCUUUUGUACGGAACGAAACGGCUCUGGUUAAUACCCGGGGCUAAUGACGGUACCGUAAGAAUAAGCACCGGCUAACUACGU